rnacentral:rRNA from 1 species
CAGCCGCCGCGGGAAUACGAAGGGGGCGAGCGUUAAUCGGAAUUACUGGGCGUAAAGCGUGCGCAGGCGGUUUCUUAAGUCUGAUGUGAAAGCCCCCGGCUCAACCCCGGAACUGCCUUUGAAACCAGAUAGCUUGAAUCUUGGAGAGGCGAGUGGAAUUCCGAGUGUAGAGGUGAAAUUCGUAGAUAUUCGGAAGAACACCAGUGGCGAAGGCGACUCGCUGGACAAGUAUUGACGCUGAGGUGCGAAAGCGUGGGGAGCAAACAGGAUUAGAUACCCCGGUAGUCCCUGUCUCUUAUAC